AGAUUGAACGCUGGCGGCAGGCCUAACACAUGCAAGUCGAGCGGCAGCACGGGUACUUGUACCUGGUGGCGAGCGGCGGACGGGUGAGUAAUGCCUAGGAAUCUGCCUGGUAGUGGGGGAUAACGCUCGGAAACGGACGCUAAUACCGCAUACGUCCUACGGGAGAAAGCAGGGGACCUUCGGGCCUUGCGCUAUCAGAUGAGCCCAGGUCGGAUUAGCUAGUUGGUGAGGUAAUGGCUCACCAAGGCGACGAUCCGUAACUGGUCUGAGAGGAUGAUCAGUCACACUGGAACUGAGACACGGUCCAGACUCCUACGGGAGCAGCAGGU
rnacentral:rRNA from 1 species